rnacentral:rRNA from 1 species
CAGUAGCGUAUAUUAAAGUUGUUGCAGUUAAAAAGCUCGUAGUUGGAUUUCUGGCGUGACGUGCCCGGCCCGCUCGGGUUUUCCGACGUGAGUGCUGGAGCGUGUCCGCCAUCCUUCUAGAGAAACAUGACUCCCGCUAUGCGGUGUGGUCGUGUCGCUCUAGAUCAUUUACUUUGAAAAAAUUAGAGUGUUUAAAGCAGGCUUGCGCUUAUGAAUACAUUAGCAUGGAAUAAUAAUAUAGGACUUCGGCCUAUUUAUUGGUUCUGGGACGAAGUAAUGAUUGAUAGGGAUAGUUGGGGGUGCUUCUAUUAUGUAGUCAGAGGUGAAAUUCUCGGAUUUACAUAAGAGAAACUUAUGCGAAAGCAUUCGCCAAGGAUGUCUUCUUUAA